rnacentral:rRNA from 1 species
GACGAACGCUGGCGGCGUGCUUAACACAUGCAAGUCGAACGGAAAGGCCCUGCUUUUUUGGGGUGCUCGAGUGGCGAACGGGUGAGUAACACGUGAGUAACCUGCCCUUGACUUUGGGAUAACUUCAUGAAACUGGGGCUAAUACCGGAUAAGAGCUCCUGCUUCAUGGUGGGGGUUGGAAAGUUUCGGCGGUUGGGGAUGUACUCGCGGCUUAUCAGCUUGUUGGUGGGGUAGUGGCUUACCAAGGCUUUGACGGGUAGCCGGGCUGAGAGGGGGACCGGCCACAUUGGGACUGAGCUAAGGCACAGACUAAUACGGGAGGCAGAAGUGGGGAAUAUUGUACAAUGGGAGGAAGCAUGAUGCAGCAAAGCCGUGUGCGGGAUGACGGGAUGCGGGUUGUAAGCCGAUUUCGUCUGUGACGAAGCGUGAGUGACGGUAAUGGGUAAAGAAGCACCGGCUAACUACGUG